GUGGGGAAUAUUGGACAAUGGGCGCAAGCCUGAUCCAGCCAUGCCGCGUGAGUGAUGAAGGCCUUAGGGUUGUAAAGCUCUUUCACCGAUGAAGAUAAUGACGGUAGUCGGAGAAGAAGCCCCGGCUAACUUCGUGCCAGCAGCCGCGGUAAUACGAAGGGGGCUAGCGUUGUUCGGCUUUACUGGGCGUAAAGCGCACGUAGGCGGUUUGUUAAGUCAGAGGUGAAAUCCCGGAGCUCAACUCCGGAACUGCCUUUGAUACUGGGUACCUAGAGUAUGGAAGAGGUAAGUGGAAUUCCGAGUGUAGAGGUGAAAUUCGUAGAUAUUCGGAGGAACACCAGUGGCGAAGGCGGCUUACUGGUCCAUUACUGACGCUGAGGUGCGAAAGCGUGGGGAGCAAACAGGAUUAGAAACCCCAGUAGUCC
rnacentral:rRNA from 1 species